rnacentral:rRNA from 1 species
AAUAUUGCACAAGGGUCGAAAGCCUGAUGCAGCAACGCCGCGUGAGGGAUGACGGNCUNNGGGUUNUNAAUCACUUUUAGUUGNNNNNAAGCGAAAGUGCCGGUACCUGCAUACAUAGCACCUGCCAAAUACGUGCCAGCAGCCGCGGUAAUACGUAGGGUGCAAGCGUUGUCCGGAAUUAUUGGGCGUAAAGAGCUCGUAGGCGGCUUGUCGCGUCUGCCGUGAAAACCCAGGGCUCAACCCUGGGCGUGCGGUGGGUACGGGCAGGCUAGAGUGCGGUAGGGGAGAUUGGAAUUCCUGGUGUAGCGGUGGAAUGCGCAGAUAUCAGGAGGAACACCGAUGGCGAAGGCAGAUCUCUGGGCCGUAACUGACGCUGAGGAGCGAAAGCAUGGGGAGCGAACA